GAUGAACGCUGGCGGCGUGCCUAAUACAUGCAAGUCGAGCGAACAGACGAGGAGCUUGCUCCUCUGACGUUAGCGGCGGACGGGUGAGUAACACGUGGAUAACCUCCCUAUAAGACUGGGAUCACUUCGGGAAACCGGAGCUAAUACCGGAUAAUCUAUUGAACCGCAUGGUUCAAUAGUGAAAGACGGUUUUGCUGUCACUUAUAGAUGGAUCCGCGCCGCAUUAGCUAGUUGGUAAGGUAACGGCUUACCAAGGCAACGAUGCGUAGCCGACCUGAGGGGGUGAUCGGCCGCACUGGAACUGGGACACGGUCCAGACGCCUACGGGAGGCAGCAGUAGGGAAUCUUUCGCAAUUGUCGAAAGCCUGGCGGAGCAACGCCGCGUGAGUGAUGAAGGUGUUCGGAUCGUAAAACUCUGUUAUUGGGGAAGACCAAAUGUGUAAUGAAAUAUGCAGGGCUUGACGGUACGUAAUCAGAAAGCCACGGCUAACUACGUG
rnacentral:rRNA from 1 species